ensembl:lncRNA
GGCGGGAUAAACGGUUGUCUUUCAAGUUCCCUCUGCACUAACCCAAUAGGAUAGCGCUACAACCAAUCAGAAGACAACUCGGAAAAGGUAUCAGAGAUUCGACGAGCACUGCCUGUUUUAAGAAAAACGAAACGUACGAGAGGUGUGGAUUCAACAUCAAGGAGUCAUUUCAUGGUUUCCUCACAGACCUCACGCUUAACAUUAAGUUGUGCACUUUUAAUGAAAUUGGGGAUUCAUUGAUUUGUGACAAGAUCGUUUUUGGAACCAACAACAAGAAGAUUAAGCAAG